ensembl:snoRNA
GUAUGUGGUGUCCCAUGCCAGAGCAAACUGUGGUCCUAAGCCAUUGCCUGGCCUCGAUCUGUGGGCUACUGGCACUGAAGGGGGUUGCACAGAG